GACGAACGCUGGCGGCGUGCUUAACACAUGCAAGUCGAACGGUGAAGCGCCUUCCUUUUUGGUGGGUGUGGAUGAGUGGCGAACGGGUGAGUAACACGUGAGUAACCUGCCCCCUUCUUCUGGAUAACCGCAUGAAAGUGUGGCUAAUACGGGAUAUUCUGGGUCUGUCGCAUGAUGGGUCUGGGAAAGAUAUUGUUUCGGUGGGGGAUGGGCUCGCGGCCUAUCAGCUUGUUGGUGGGGUGAUGGCCUACCAAGGCGGUGACGGGUUGCCGGCCUGAGAGGGUGGACGGCCAUACUGGGACUGAGACACGGCCCAGACUCCGACGGGAGGCAGCAGUGGGGAAUAUUGCACAAUGGGCGCAAGCCUGAUGCAGCGACGCCGCGUGAGGGAUGGAGGCCUUCGGGUUGUGAACCUCUUUCGCCAGUGAAGCAGGCCUGCCUCGUUUGUGGGUGGGUUGACGGUAGCUGGAUAAGAAGCGCCGGCUAACUACGUG
rnacentral:rRNA from 1 species